GACGAACGCUGGCGGCGUGCUUAACACAUGCAAGUCGAACGGAAAAGCCCUGCUUUUGUGGGGUGCUCGAGUGGCGAACGGGUGAGUAACACGUGAGUAACCUGCCCUUGACUUUGGGAUAACUUCAGGAAACUGGGGCUAAUACCGGAUAGGAGCUCCUGCUGCAUGGUGGGGGUUGGAAAGUUUCGGCGGUUGCGGAUGGACUCGCGGCUUAUCAGCUUGUUGGUGGGGUAGUGGCUUACCAAGGCUUUGACGGGUAGCCGGCCUGAGAGGGUGACCGGCCACAUUGGGACUGAGAUACGGCCCAGACUCCUACGGGAGGCAGCAGUGGGGAAUAUUGCACAAUGGGCGGAAGCCUGAUGCAGCAACGCCGCGUGCGGGAUGACGGCCUUCGGGUUGUAAACCGCUUUCGCCUGUGACGAAGCGUGAGUGACGGUAAUGGGUAAAGAAGCACCGGCUAACUACGUG
rnacentral:rRNA from 1 species